GACGAACGCUGGCGGCGUGCUUAACACAUGCAAGUCGAACGGAAAGGCCCUGCUUUUGUGGGGUGCUCGAGUGGCGAACGGGUGAGUAACACGUGAGUAACCUGCCCUUGACUUUGGGAUAACUUCAGGAAACUGGGGCUAAUACCGGCUAGGAGCUCCUGCUGCAUGGUGGGGGUUGGACAGUUUCGGCGGUUGGGGGUGGACGCGCGGCUUAUCAGCUUGUUGGUGGGGUAGUGGCUUACCAAGGCUUUGACGGGUAGCCGGCCUGUGAGGGUGACCGGCCACAUGGGGACUGAGAUACGGACCAGACUCCUACGGGAGGCAGAAGUGGGGAAUAUUGCACAAUGGGCGGAAGCCUGAUGCAGCAACGCCGCGUGCGGGAUGACGGCCUUCGGGUUGGAAACCGCUUUCGCCUGUGACGAAGCGUGAGUGACGGUAAUGGGUAAAGAAGCACCGGCUAACUACGUG
rnacentral:rRNA from 1 species